AGCGGAAAAAGGCCACAAAAACGGGUGGGCUAUAGCCUUGGGGGGGGGGGGGGCUGGCCUAAUUCGUCCGCUGGACUCGGAAUUCCGCGAGAAUUUGCGAGGGGCCUCCGUGUGCCAAAAAUAGGCCGCGGGCAAAGCCGCGCCCAAAAAUAACCGCCCGAAAGCCCGGGCACCAAGUUCGUCCAGUGGACGUUGGCCACAAAAACGGGUGGGCUAUAGCCUUGGGGGGUGGGGCUGGCCAACUUCGUCCGCCGGACUCGGAAUGCCGCGAGACUUUGCGAGGGGCCUCCGUGUGCCAAAAAUAGGCCACGGGUAAUCCCGCGCCCAAAAAUAGCCGCCCGAAUGCCGGGGCGCCAAGUUCGUCCAGCGGAAAAAGGCCACAAAAACGGGUGGGCUAUAGCCUUGGGGGGUGGGGCUGGCCCACUUCGUCCGCCGGACUCGGAAUGCCGCAAGACUUUGCGAGGGGCCUCCGUGUGCCAAAAAUAGGCCGCAGGCAAGGCCGCGCCCAAAAAUAAACGCCCGAAGGCCGGGGCACCAAGUUCGUCCAGCGGAAAAAGGCCACAAGAACGGGUGGGCUGUAGCCUCGGGGGGUGGGGCUGGCCACCUUCGUCCGCCGGACUCGGAAUGACGCGAGACUUUACGAGGGGCCUCUGUGUGCCAAAAAUAGGCCGCGGGCAAAGCUGCGCCCAAAAAUAACCGCCCGAAGGCCGGGGCGCCAAGUUCGUCCAGCGGAAAAAGGCCACAAAAACGGGUGGGCUAUAGCCUUGGGGGGUGGGGCUGGCCAACUUCGUCCACCGGACUCGGAAUGCCGCAAGACCUUGCGAGGGCACUCCGUGUGCCAAAAAUAGGCCGCGGGCAAGGCCGCGCCCAAAAAUAACCGCCCGAAGGCCGGGGCGCCAAGUUCGUCCAGCGCAAAAAGGCCACAAAAACGGGUGGGCUAUAGCCUUGGGGGGUGGGGCUGGCCAACUUCGUCCGCCGGACUCGGAAUGCCGCGAAAAUUUGCGAGGGGCCUCCGUGUGCCAAAAAUAGGCCGCGGGUAAAGCCGCGCCCAAAAAUUACCGCCCGAUGGCCGGGGCGCCAAGUUCGUCCAGCGGAAAAAGGCCACAAAAACGGGUCGGCUAUAGCCUUGGGGGGUGGGGCUGGCCAACUUCGUCCGCCGGACUCGGAAUGCCGCGAGACUUUGCGAUGGGCCUCCGUCUGCCAAUAAUAAGCCGCGGGCAAAGCGUGCCCGAAAAUAAACGUCCGAAGGCCGGGGCGCCAAGUUCGUCCAGCGGAAAAAGGCCACAAAAACGGGUGGGCUAUAGCCUUGGGGGGUGGGGCUUGCCAACUUCGUCCGCCGGACUCGGAAUGCCGCGAGACUUUGCGAGGGGUCUCCGUGUGCCAAAAAUAGGAUGCGAGCAAAGCUGCGCCUGAAAAUAACCGUCCGAAGGCUGGGGCGCCAAGUUCGUCCAGCGGAAAAAGGCCACAAAAACGGGUGGGCUAUAGCCUUGGAGGGUGGGGCUGGCCUACUUCGUCCGCCGCACUCGGAAUGCCGCAAGACAUUGCGAGGGGCCUCCGUGUGCCAAAAAUAGGCUGCGGGCAAGGCCGCGCCCAAAAAUAACCGCCCGAAGGCCGGGACGCCAAGUUCGUCCAGCGGAAAAAGGCCACAAAAACGGGUGGGCUAUUCCCUUGGGGGGUGGGUCUGGCCCACUUCGUCCGCCGGACUCGGAAUGCCGCGAGACUUUGCGAGGGGUCUUCGUGUGCCAAAAUAAGCUGCGGGCAAAACCGCGCCCGAAANNNNNNNNNNNNNNNNNNNNNNNNNNNNNNNNNNNNNNNNNNNNNNNNNNNNNNNNNNNNNNNNNNNNNNNNNNNNNNNNNNNNNNNNNNNNNNNNNNNNNNNNNNNNNNNNNNNNNNNNNNNNNNNNNNNNNGGGCUUCCGUGUGCCAAAAAUAGGAUGCGGACAAAGCUGCGCCUGAAAAUAACAGUCCGAAGGCUGGGGCGCCAAGUUCGUCCAGCGGAAAAAGGCCACAAAAACGGGUGGGCUAUAGCCUUGGGGGGUGGGGCUGGCCUACUUCGUCCGCCGGACUCGGAAUGCCGCGAGACUUUGCGAGGGGCCUCCGUGUGCCAAAAAUAGGCCACGGGCAAAGCCGCACCCAAAAAUAACCGCCCGAAGGCAGGUGCGCCAAGUUCGUCCAGCGGAAAACGGCCACAAAAACGGGUGGACUAUAGCCUUGGGGGGUGGGGCUGGCCCACUUCGUCCGCCGGACUCGGAAUGCCGCGAGACUUUGCGAGGGGCCUCCGUGAGCCAAAAAUAGGCCACGGGAAAAGGCGCGCCCAAAAAUAACCGCCCGAAGGCCGGGGCGCCAAGUUCGUCCGGCGGAAAAAGGCCACAAAAACGGGUGGGCUAUAGCCUUGGGGGGUGGGGCUGGCAACUUCGUCUGCCGGACUCAGAAUGCCGCGAGACUUUGCGAGGGGCCUCCAUGUGAUAAAAAUAGGCUGCGGGUAAAGCCGCGCCCGAAGGCCGGGGCUCCAAGUUCGUCCAGCGGAAAAAGGCCACAAAAACGGGUGGGCUAUAUCCUUGGGGGGUAGGGCUGGCCAACUUCGUCCGCCGGACUUGGAAUGCCGCGGGCUUUGCGAGGGGCCUCCGUGAGCCAAAAAUAGGCCACGGGAAAAGGCACGCCCAAAAAUAACCGCCCGAAGGCCGGGGCGCCAAGUUCGUCCGGCGGAAAAAGGCCACAAAAACGGGUGGGCUAUAGCCUUGGGGGGUGGGGCUGGCAACUUCGUCCGCCGGACUCAGAAUGCCGCGAGACUUUGCGAGGGGCCUCCAUGUGAUAAAAAUAGGCUGCGGGUAAAGCCGCGCCCGAAGGCCGGGGCUCCAAGUUCGUCCAGCGGAAAAAGGCCACAAAAACGGGUGGGCUAUAUCCUUGGGGGGUAGGGCUGGCCAACUUCGUCCGCCGGACUUGGAAUGCCGCGGGCUUUGCGAGGGGCCU
rnacentral:lncRNA from 1 species